CCUACGGGAGGCAGCAGUGGGGAAUAUUGCACAAUGGGGGAAACCCUGAUGCAGCGACGCCGCGUGAGUGAAGAAGUAUUUCGGUAUGUAAAGCUCUAUCAGCAGGGAAGAAAAGGACGGUACCUGAUUAAGAAGCCCCGGCUAACGACGUGCCAGCAGCCGCGGUAAGACGUAGGGGGCAAGCGUUAUCCGGAUUUGCGGGGUGUAAAGGGAGCGUAGACGGCAGCGCAAGUCUGGAGUGAAAUGCCGGGGCUUAACCCCGGAACUGCUUUGGAAACUGUGCAGCUAGAGUGCAGGAGAGGUCAGUGUGCUUCCUAGUGUAGCGGUGAAGUGCGUCGAUAUUAGGAGGACCACCAGUGG
rnacentral:rRNA from 1 species